AAUGAACGCUGGCGGCAGGCCUAAAACAUGCAAGUCGAACGCCCUAGCAAUAGGGAGUGGCGCACGGGUGAGUAACAUGUGGGAAUAUGCCUUUUGGUACGGAACAACGUUUGGAAACGAACGCUAAUACCGUAUGGUCCCUCCGGGGUAAAGAUUUAUCGCCAAAAGAUUAGCCCGCACUAGAUUAGCUAGUUGGUAAGGUAAUGGCUUACAAAGGCGACGAUCUAUAGCUGUUCUGAGAGGAAGAUCAGCCACACUGGGACUGAGACACGGCCCAGACUCCUACGGGAGGCAGCAGUUAGGAAUAUUGGACAAUGGGCGCAAGCCUGAUCCAGCCAUGCCGCGUGAGUGAUGAAGGCCUUCGGGUUGUAAAGCUCUUUAGCCGACGAAUAUAAUGACUGUAGUCGGAGAAUAAGCCCCGGCUAACUUCGUGCCAGCAGCCGCCGUAACAC
rnacentral:rRNA from 1 species